rnacentral:rRNA from 1 species
AUUGAACGCUGGCGGCAUGCUUUACACAUGCAAGUCGAACGGUAACAGGCCGCAAGGUGCUGACGAGUGGCGAACGGGUGAGUAAUGCAUCGGAACGUGCCCAGUCGUGGGGGAUAACGCAGCGAAAGCUGUGCUAAUACCGCAUACGAUCUAUGGAUGAAAGCGGGGGACCGUAAGGCCUCGCGCGAUUGGAGCGGCCGAUGUCAGAUUAGGUAGUUGGUGGGGUAAAGGCCUACCAAGCCGACGAUCUGUAGCUGGUCUGAGAGGACGACCAGCCACACUGGGACUGAGACACGGCCCAGACUCCUACGGGAGGCAGCAGUGGGGAAUUUUGGACAAUGGGCGCAAGCCUGAUCCAGCAAUGCCGCGUGCAGGAAGAAGGCCUUCGGGUUGUAAACUGCUUUUGUACGGAACGAAACGGUCCGGGUUAAUACCCUGGGCUAAUGAUGGUACCGUAAGAAUAAGCACCGGCUAACUACGUGCCAGCCGCCGCCGUAAGAC